rfam:Peptococcaceae bacterium BRH_c8a BRHa_1006587, whole genome shotgun sequence.
UAACCGUCGCCGUGAGGCGGCGCUGAACCUGCAGGAGUCAGCCGAGGUCAUAAUACGGCAGUAGGGGACGCCCGAACCCGGAAGGAC